rnacentral:lncRNA from 1 species
GCCGGUGUAGGAGUGGGUGGUGGUCAUGGUGCCCUUGAUGAUGCCUUGAUCCAUGCAUAUAUAUAUAUAUAUAUAUAUAUACACCGUUAUUAUAGGUUUGUCCGAUUUGCAAUAAUCACAAGGAGGGAGCAUCAAGUUUGCGGCGCUCGACUCGAGUUGAGUGAAGAAGAUCGAUACGCACCGAACUUUUGGUCGAGCACCUUGACGAAUGGCGCGAGGCAGUUGGUGGUGCAGGAGGCGUUGCUGAUGAUGGGCUCGUCGGGGUUGUACUGGUCGGCAUUGACGCCGACGACGUAGGUGGGGAUGUCGCCCUUGCCGGGCGCCGUGAUGAGCACCUUCUUGGCCCCCGCCUGGAUGUGCUUCCCCGCGCCCUCGCGGUCGACGAAGACGCCGGUGCCCUCGAUGACGAGGUCGAUGCCGAGCUCGCCCCACGGCAGGUUGCUGGGGUUGCGGUCGGACACGACCUUGAUGACCUUGCCGUCGACGGAGAUGGCGUUGUCGCCGACGGGCUUGACGUCGGCGUCGAAGAUGCCGAGCGUGGAGUCGUACUUGAGCAGGUGGGACGCCUGCUUGACACCGCCGGUGUCGUUGAUGGCGAUGACGUCGAGGGGCGAGGCGUCGCCGCGCCCGUGCCAGCACCGCAGGAAGUUGCGCCCGAUGCGGCCGAACCCGUUGAUGGCCACCUUCAGCUUCGCCUCCGUCGGCGCCCGCCGCGACCCGCCGCUCGUGCCGACCUGGUUGUUGAUGUGAUGCACGAGCGAGCGAGCGAGCAAGCCAGGCAGCAGCAGCGCAUACACACACGUGUGAAUCCCCAAAGCCGGCCGUACGUGCAAUACGAUACAAAGCUACUUUCCUACGCGGCUGCAUGAGGGUGGAUCGAUCGGCCGGGGCAGGCACGUACCGCGUGGGUCCUGAAGGAGACGGCGGACAUGAAGUCGUCGGAGGUGGCAUUCCGGCGCAUGGGCAGCGACGCGGAGCUCCUGAGCCCGGAGAACUCGGACAGGCCGCCCCCCUGGAGUACAACAUCAAAGAACCAUCACUACUCGCUUGUCCGGUGGAGCAGCUAGAGUGCAAGCAAACCAUUGAUCCUACGUAGCAGCACGGGUGGAGAGAGAGACGCGGCACGAGAGGCAUACCUGCUGGAGUGGCACGGUGGUAGCGGAGAGCAUGGACGACGCCAUGGCCACGGACCAGAGGAUCAAGACAAGAUGACGAUGCUAGCCAACAAGCGGGCGCGUAUAUACGAUACGAGUUGGCGGAUUGGGGGCGCGCGCGUUUGUGGUGCGCGUGGCCGCGAUCGGGGAUCGUGAGGUCGGGAUUCGGGGAGGGAUCAGAUUUCGGAUAGCAUGGCCGACGAAUGGCUGUCGAUGGCCGCCCUCCUGCGCGAUCAACGUGUGGCCCAUUUUCCGUGCCCGCCCGCCCGCCCCUCCCCUGUUACGGCUUGUCGGGUCAUGCCUUGUGCAAUGGAUCGCGGAGAUCAAUCGAUCGUUCUGGAUGGGGGGUCGAGUUCGACGUGGUAUGCAAAAGACGGGUCGACGCCUGGGAGGCUGGGACACGGUACAAACGAGCAGAUCAGAUUCAGCAGCAAAGACAUCAAAGAACACCGGGGGGCUAGUGCGCCGGUUAGCUAGGUUACUGAUCCUAGGAGUCAAAACCGGAGUGGUUGAAAUUCAGUUUGAUAAGCUGCCUUUCUACUGUUACUCGUGUGGUAAGAUGCAUGCAACACAUGGAGCUGGAGUCUCCUCCAACCUCGGCACCUAGAAAUGCUCUGGGCAGACUCCCAUCCCAUAUGAUCUUAAGCUUCGAGCACCAUAGGAUAGGAAGAAGAAAUCGUAGAGCUUUGGUCUUUGGCCACGGGGCGGAGAGGAGUCCUUUGGCAGCUCCACGGGGACUCGUAGGUCGGAGCCGUCACGAGAUUAACUCCACCUGACACUCAACAAGUGGCCUGGAGAGAGGAGAUGUUGCUGAUCGAUGAGAUAGAGGUUGUUGGUUUGAUCCCAUGUGACACAUGUACCGAUGAUAAGCUUUGUGAGGAAUUUAGUUGGGUCAUGACAAAUAGGUUUGAAAUGUCUAUGAUGUAUGAGCUCAAGUUCUUUCUAAGGUUUCAAGUGAAACAGUAAAGGAAAGAACUUUUAUGUGCCAGACCAAGUACACACAAGACAUGUUGAAGAAGUUUGGCACGAAAAAGGUGAAGCCUACCAAGAUUACAAUGGCUUCAAAUGGUCAUCUCGGCCUAAAUGAAGAAGGUAAAUAUGUCAAUCAAAAGCUCUAUAGAUCCAUGAUAGGUUCACUACUUUACAUAUGUUCAUCUAGACCUGACAUAAUGUUAAGUGUGUGCAUGUGUGUUCGCUUUUAAGUUAACCCGAAAGAGUGUCAUUUAGUUGCUGUUAAGAUAAUCUUAAUAUAUCUAGUUCACACCCAAAACUAGGACUUUGGUAUCCUAAAGGCUUCUUUUUCGAUUUACUUGGCUACUCUGACUCAGAUUCUGCCGGUUGCAAAGUAGAUCGAAAAAACACCACGGAGACUUGCCAAUUCUUUGGAUAGUCCUUGGUGUCAUGGAGUUCUAAGAAACAAAAUUGUGUUGCACUCGCUCUACAGAAGCUGAGUACAUAUCAGCUAGUGCAUGUUGUGCCCAGUUGCUAUCGAAAAAACACCACGAGGACUUUGGUUGCGAGUUUAAUAGAAUUCUGCUACUUUGUGACAAUGAGAGUGACAUUAAACUUGCAAACUAUCCCGUGCGACACUCUAAAACUAAACACAUUGAUAUUAGACAUCAUUUAUUGAGAGACCACAAAGCCAAAGGAGAUAUUGAAUUAUGUUAUGUAAAGACCAAAAAUCAACUAGCUGAUAUAUUCACCAAACCUCAUGGUGAGACUAGAUUUUUCUUUCUUAGGAGUGAACUAAAUAUUUUAGAUUCUCGUAACGUCUCUUGAAGGCUUGCACACAAAAUUGUUUGAGAUAGAUUGUAUGUUUGGUUGAAUUUUAAAACUAUAUAAAAACAUAUAUUUCUAUCUAUAAAUCCCUAACUUUGAUUGAGAAUGGCAUAAUAAUUGCCAUAUAAAAAUCUCAAUCUUCUUGAAGUUCACUGGUGAAAACCAGUUGAACUUUAGUUCAAUCUAGUUGAGCUUCAGCACAACUAGGGUCAGCUGAGUUCUUCUCUGGCCAAAACUGGUUCAGCUGGCCCCUAGGGGUGGUUCAACAUGCCCCUGGACAAAGUCAACUGACAACUUUUCUGACUCACUUGCUCUGCUCCUGUCAGCUUGCCCUGCUGCCAGUCUAACAAUUAGGCAUCUCUGACAGGAGGCGGUUGAAUUGGCCCUGACCCCCGGUACAACCGGUUUCUACUAGUGGUGCCCAGGGUUUUUAUCCCGCGCCCCCUCUUCUCUCUCCCCCCACUUCAACUCCUCCAGCCUAGUCGCCUCUAGACCUGAGCCCUCUCUCUUUUCUAUCUUUUUCCCCUCAAAAUCCCUCAAAUCCACCCACUCAAAUCUCUUGAAACUUGGAGGGAUUACUCCUAGGGAGAUCCUCCUCCAUUUCCACCACUUUGGUUGCAAUUCAUCGUCCAGAUUCUUAGAUCAAGGUAACUCUCCAUUUUUACUCUUUUGCCCCGAUCUAUGUUUGUAUGCAUAUGGAACACUUUCUUGAAGAAGUUUAGCCUUGUUGUAUGCAUUUGUUAAGGUAGAUUAUGUGUUGUGUUCAUAUCCAGUUGAACUAUUCAUAUGAACGGUUGAACUGACCCUGCCACUCACACCUCCUUUGCAUAUGAUGUUUCAUACCUUGAACAAUUCCAUCUCAUACUUUGUUUAUUCAUCUAUUUCAAGAUGGUUCAUGUGACGGAACCUCCCAAGUCAUUAGGCUCACCUACAGUUGUCCUUGUCCAACGGACCUCAGACAACCCUGCAGGUGCCCCCGAAUCACUUGACAAGUUCGGUAUCUGCUUUUCUUACCUUUCCCAAGAGCGUUUCACCCGUCACGCAGACAUUACAAAUCAUCGGAGAUGCGGAAGUGCGAAAGCAGUUACAAUAUCUUAGUUUUAUUUAAAAGUAAGAUAGAGUUAAAUAUUUACAGACCAGGAUAAAAUAUACGAGUGCAGAGAAUUAUUAUUACAAACCAUGGGAGGCAAAAACUCCUCCCGAUAAGUAUCAAACAAAAAGUUUUUAUGGAGGAUCCUUUCCUCCCACAACUUCAUUCCUGGUGCUCUUCCUUUGGUACCACCUUAGAACAGAAGCAACAAAAGUUUGUCGCUUCUUCACCUAAAAACAACGGGGAAUAAAACCCUGAGUAUGGAAUUACUCAGCAAGUCUUACUCGACUAAAGAAAAGACUCUCAAGGGUAUGCUGGCUUAAGGGAGUUAAGGUAAGGCUUAUCAAUAAUCAAUGACUCUAUUUGCAGAAAUGCUUACUAAAGUGGAUCCUUAAAAAUCCAAUUUUAAUUUGUCAGGUUAAGUAAGAUUACCUGCAACUAGAGUUAUUUCUACCCUAGUUCAAACACUUGACCUGCACUAGCCAAUUUCUUAACAACCCUUCAUCUUUACUGGAUUUCUACGUAUAGGUCAGUGACCAAGUCUUCAUAACCGCGAAGGUACGGUGAUCCGAAUCGAUUAUACUCAGCUGAGGAUCUCCAAUCACACGACAUAUGUAGCACUUAACCCUUACAUAUGUCAACACGCCACCGGGGUUCUUAAGACUAGAUCAGGUUCACGCCAACCGAGAGCACAGUUACACCACCGUCCAGCCUCUUGCCACGGAGGGUACACGCUACUCUCGCCAUCUCUCCACGCCCAUUGCGUGUUAUCUUAUUCUGGUAUUAGUCUGCCCGAGGCAAAGCUUACCCAUGACGAGGCAUGUGACCAGUUAAAGGGUCCUCGGUCAGCAAGCCUACAUCGACACGGUCCUUAAUCGACUCAGACUGAGACACUACAUCGAGACUCCUUUCUCGUGCAAGUCCACCCGCCCGGUCUCACCUUAAUUAUUUCAAACCCAAAGUUUGGUACCUGGCAGAGGUACAUCUUUUCCGAUGUUGAACCCAUCAUGGCCAUGAUGGAUCCACCAUCAAGUUUUAUUUCAAAAAUAUCCCUCCCACUUUGCCACAUCAUCUUUUUGUAAAAACAAAACAUUUUGUUUUGCUAGAGCAAGACUAAGCAUAGGAAAAACCUUUUUGUAAAACAGGGAUUCCAAGGAAGGUAAUCAAAUUCAAGGAAGGUAAUGCAGGAAUUGUUUUAGCACUCAACUCCUAUCACCUUAUGCAUCAAGCAAGUGAGAAAGAUUUUAAAAAUAUCAAGGAGGUGGCAAAUGCACGGGGCUUGCCUUGGUUUACAGGUGAUUCAGGCUCGGAUCCACAGAUGUCAAAAUAAAAGUAAUUUCGUGCCUGAUGUUCCGCAGGUGGUGCUGGCGAAGUCUUCUCUUCUUCUACUUCAACUUCUUCCUCGUUUUCUAGAUAUAAUCAUAUAUAUAUAUAAGAAUGAAUGCCCAUGUAAUGCUCAUGAGGAUGCAAUGAUAGUAAAAGUUUAUUUUCUAAAGUCUUGAGUAUAAUUUUCCUUCACGGUUCUCCGAGAACCUAGGGUUUCCGGAGUCAGUAAAGGAAUUCAAAGGGCAGGGGGUAGGGUUUUGGGCUCUAAGUAUCAAACAAGGUCCAAAUCAUACCAAAUUCUACCCAAGGCUUCUAAAUAAUGUUUUGAGCUCAUAUAAAAAGUUUGGGGAUUUUUGGAAUUAUUAUCUAUUUUCUAAAAAUCGAGAAACAAUGUUUUAGGCUAAUUUAAAUGCUCCAAAAUUUCUUAUUGGUUCUAAAAAUUAUAAAAAUACUUUUAUUAAAUACUAUGGAAAAUAAGGAACCUAGGAAAAUUGUUUGACAUUUUUACCAUUUUCUACAAUUUUCUACAGAUUUCUCAAGUUUUAUAGAAAAAGAAAAGGAAAAAGCUUAAACAGUACUGGGCCGAAAGUAGCCCAAACGGCCCAGCUUGCACAGGAACAGGGACGCGCCCACGUGCGCCCGCGCGCGCGACGACGACUUUGUGAAUAAGUCCCUGUAUUUUUUUAUUAGCCCGAAGGAGUCCAAAAACACUAUUUAAAACAGUCACUGACACUUUGCAGAAAUACCCUCGUACUUCUAUUUCUUCUCUAGAAACAUCCCUGGCCACGGCGCACUCGCCGUUUGUCUUCGACGUGGUCUGUACCGACCAUGGCCGGCGAUGAUUGCUAUGGUUAACUAUCGGGAGGCAUAACCGAUCAAGGAUAAUCUAGGAACAUCCUUUAAUUUGACAUAAACUUCACUGGGAACUGUCUACCCACGAUCAUGGCGGAAACCGGGAUCACGAGCACGUGUUCCCGCCAAAUCAUGGUCGAAUUGAGCAAACGAGUGCCACGAUAAGCUUCACUAGCAUGCAGAGCCACAAAAACAACAUUCGAGAUGGACAGAGCCUUACCCGAAUGGGCUGGCCACGGUCGAGCUGUUCACGGUGGCGCGACGACCCAAUUUGGGGGAAAAGGGAGACUCUCUGGCUAUGGUGUCUAAUCGAGGGUGGGAGCGGGUGCUUUGGCUUCGCAAUUUAGAGACGAAGAGCUGUGCUCGGUUGAUUUGAACGGAGGGGUGAGGAUGCGGUGAAUUUAUAGGCGCAGUGAGCCACUGCCAUGGCCAUGGUGAUAACCAUCGCCGGCCUUAGCUGGCGAUCAACGGCGGCGUCGAGCGCUAUCCUUUCCUACGAGCUUGCCACGUUCCGCCGCGACAGUAACGCGGUCAAAUCAGUGUGGGCGUGGAUGAACGAAGAGGAGCGGCGCCGAUGACCGGAUAUGGCCGGAGUGAUUAGUGGUCGCGUGGCGGCCGGAAUCAUCACGCUCCACCGCGGCGAUCUUACUCGGAUCAAGAAGAUCUUUGCGAGGAGAUGCACGUCGCGCGCCCAUCCCGACCCUAGCGCAAAUCACGGCGCGGAUUGGUCGUCGGCGACGAGGGUCUGAAGCUUAUCCUCCCGGGCACUGUACCAUGGCAACUCACCCAAAUCUCUGCAGCAAAGUUGUAGAUUUACAAACCAGCUACAUUUCGACUAUAGGAACUGAACUCAGUUGAGCACUAGAUCAUACAUAAUUUCAAUUCCAAAGCUCGACCAAUAACACUGGUGGUCAUUUUUCAGUCAGUAACCCGACUGACAGCCCAACUUUGGGUUUAAUUAUCUCCCAAUUCUUCAUAACAACAAUGCUUAACCCCUUAAACAAAGUUGUUCACCUUUAAUAGCUCUACAAUAUUGAUGUGGUGACCUAGGGCAAAAACCUUAUAAUUUGAAAAUUACAAAGCUCCAAAGUUGAGCCCAAACACUGAUUUUCAGACUUAGUCUUAGAACCCAAAUAGGGCCUUUUUGCCAAUAGGUCCAAAACUCAGGGUUUGAAUUGCAAAUCUUCAUAAAUGUGAACGAAAUGACUUUAUAUGCCUUAACAUCAUAGUUUUUACACUUUAGUCCAAAAGUGCACUAAUUUUGCACUUAACCCCCUAGGGUUUAAGUUUAGGGUUUUCUAGGGUCCUUAUUAGGGUUUUUGGCAUUCCAGGGGUGUGAAUGUAACUUAGAUCCAUUCUAGUAAUAUUCUAUGAUUAAUUUACUUAAACUUUAGGGUUUUCUCUAUUUGGAUUUUGUUUUACCCUUCUGAACCUCAUUUAUGGUUAAGUGCCCUACACUAGGGUCUUAUUUGCAAAGAUACCAUAGCAAUACAACUUGUUUGAGAUUUUUGCCUAGUGAAUGCAUUCUAGGUGUAUCAAACAUAUGAAAUGCUAAUGCUGAUGAUGUUAUGCUCAAGUUUUAGUAACAGUAACACCAGGGGUGUUACAUCCUUCCCCCCAUAAAAGAAUCUUGUCCCGAGAUUAAAAGUCCUAGGGUAAGUAAUGGAAAAGGAAACACGACUUGUCUUUAUUUCCUUAUUCUUGGUACAAGGCAGGGGUGGUUUGGGGCUCACUCCUUUACAACAAUUGUAUACACUUUACAAAUUACAUGAGGGUAAAAAGCCUGGGAAAUUCUUUUCUAAAAAGUCCUGAGUUUCCCAUGUAGCCUCAUCUUCUGAAUGCUAGUUCCACUGUAUCUUGUAAAACUUGAGAGUUUUUCUUCGGGUAAUUCUGUCCUUUUGAUCCAAGACUCAAAUAGGGUGCUCAGAAUAUGUCAAGUCUGGUUCUAGGGCAACAUCCGUUACGUCAACGGUUCAAUCGGGAACCCGAAGACACUUCUUCAAUUGAGACACGUGGAACACAUUAUGUACUGCAGACAAGGUUUCGGGUAACUGAAGUCGGUAUGCCACUGGUCCAUAUUGUUCGAGUACAGGAAAAGGGCCAAUAUACUGGGGUGCAAGCUUCCCUUUAACCCCGAAACGUGAUACCCCCUUCAUCGGUGAAACUUUCAGGUAGACAUAAUCUCCAACUAGAAAGUACAAGGGUUGUCGUCGCUUGUCUGCAUAACCCUUAUGACGAGCUUGAGCUUUCUUCAAAUUAUGAAUUAUUCGCUGAACUUUUUCUUCGGUCUCUUUUACCAUAUCAGGUCUGAAGAAGCUUCUUUCACCUGGUUCAGACCAAUUUAACGGAGUACGACAUCGUCGUUCAUAUAAAGCUUCGAAGGGUGCCAUCUUAAUACUUUCUUGAUAGCUAUUAUUAUAUGAGAACUCCGCUAAUGGUAAACAAUCAUCCCAUUUUUGUGGAAAUUCCAAAGCACAAGCCCGUAACAUAUCUUCAAGUAUUUGAUUUACCCUCUCAGUCUGUCCACUGGUUUGAGGAUGAUAGGCCAAACUAUGGAGCAACUUAGUAUCCAAAGCCUUGUGAAGUUCUUCCCAAAAUUUGGACACGGAUUGCGGUCCACGAUCCGACACUAUAGUCUUCGGAACACCAUGCAAACUGAGAAUACGGGCAAUGUAUAGUUCUGCAUACGUGGCCACUGUAUACUUUACCCUGACUGGAAGGAAGUGGGCAAUCUUCGUAAGUCGAUCUACGAUAACCCAGAUAGAAUCAUACCCUUUGGUGGUCCUAGGUAAUCCUACAAUAAAUUCCAUACUAAUAUCCUCCCAUUUCCAUGUUGGAAUCGGUAAUGAUUGCAAUGGCCCAGCAACCUUCAUGUGUAUGGCCUUGACACAUCUGCAGGUGUCACAUCUUGCCACAUAGCGUGCAAUUUCAAUUUUCAUCUUUGUCCAUCAAUAAUGUUGCUUUAGAUCAUGAUACAUCUUAGUGCUUCCGGGAUGAAUAGAAUAGCGACUAAGAUGUGCUUCAUCCAAAAUUUGCUGGUGGAGCUCUUCAUUCUUCGGCACAACUAUGCGGUUGUUGAACCAUACAAUGCCUUGAUCAUCCUUUCUGAAACAUUUGGCUUUUCCGACCUCUAUUUUCUCAUGGAUGUGUUUCAUACCCUCAUUAUCCUUUUGAGCAUCCAUUAUCCUUUGUAAAAGGACUGACUCAAGCUUUAGUUGACUUAAGGCUCCGUGUUGGAUCAUUCCCAGGUUUAACUUCUCCAUCUCCUGGCAUAGUGUAUUGUCAGAGGUCUUCACAGUAAGACAGUGACAGGAAACCUUAUGGCUAAGUGCAUCUGCCACUACAUUGGCCUUGCCUGGGUGAUAAUGAAUUUCCAAUUCAUAGUCCUUAAUAAGCUCAAGCCAUCGCCUUUGUCUCAUGUUCAACUCUAACUGGGUGAAGAUAUACUUCAAGCUUUUAUGAUCUGUAUAAAUGUGACAGAUAUUACCUAGCAGAUAAUGACGCCAGAUCUUCAGGGCAUGAACCACUGCAGCUAGCUCCAGAUCAUGAGUUGGAUAAUGCUCCUCAUGCCGGCGCAACUGCCUUGAAGCAUAAGCUAUUACUCAGCCUUCUUGCAUUAAUACACAGCCGAGACCACUGCCUGAUGCGUCACAAUACACAUCAAAGGGCUUAUUAAUGUCCGGUUGAGCCAAUACCGGAGCAGUGGUUAAUAACAUCUUCAAUUUCUCAAAGGCUUCAUUACAAUUUGAAGACCAAUUGAAUUUUAUCUCAUUCUUUAAUAAACUCGUGAUUGGUUUCACAAGCUUAGAAAAAUCCGGUAUAAAUCGGCGGUAAUAGCCAGCUAGUCCCAGGAAACUUCGGACUUGAUAAACAGUGGUUGGGGUUUCCACUCAAAAAUAUCCUUGACUUUGCUAGGAUCUACCUUAAUCCCCUUGGCAGAUAACACAUGUCCCAAAAAUUGGAUUUCUUCCAGCCAGAACGCGCAUUUACUGAACUUAGCAUAUAACUGAUGUUCUCUCAAGCGCGUUAAUACAAUCCGCAAGUGCUGAGCAUGCUCCUCUUCAUUCUUGGAGUAUAUUAAGAUAUCAUCGAUGAAGACCACCACAAACUUAUCCAACUCGGGCAUAAAUACCAAGUUCAUCAGAUAUGUGAAGUGGGCAGGAGCAUUCGUCAGUCCGAAAGACAUAACCAGAUAUUCAAACAAUCCAUACCGUGUAGUGAAUGCGGUCUUGGGUAUAUCCUCGGGCCUGAUACGGAUCUGAUGAUAGCCCGGCCUGAGAUCAAUUUUGGAAAAUACCCUCGCUCCAGUUAGUUGAUCAAACAAAAUAUCAAUCCGAGGAAGAGGAUACUUAUUCUUGAUAGUAACCUCAUUAAGGGGUCUAUAAUCCACACACAUUCGAAGUGUUUGGUCCUUCUUCUUGAUGAAGAUGGCUGGACAACCCCAUGGUGACGAGCUUGGCCAGAUGAAUCCCUUCUCAAGUUGAUCUUGUAAUUGGGUCUUAAGUUCUGCCAGCUCAUUUGGAGGCAUUCGGUACGAUCUUCUAGAAAUAGGAGCCGUACCGGGCUUCAACUCAAUUACAAAUUCUACAUCUCUUUCGGGUGGCAAUCCAGGCAAAUCUUUUGGAAGGACGUCUGGGAACUCACAUACUACCGGAAUAUCUUUGAUCUUUGGUAUGAUGGCUUCAUACACUCUGCCAGUUGGUCUAGCUAGAAUGGCUACGGGGAUAGACAAAAGAAUUUCUUCUUGGCCAUAACUCAACCUGAUUGUUCUCAGAUCAGUAUUGAGAAUAGCUUUAUGUUGGGCUAACCAAUUCAUGCCCAAAAUUACAUCUAUGUCUUGGCCUUUCAGAACAAUCAUAUUAGUAAGAAAGUCCAGUCCAGCCAAUGUUACGGGCACUUGAUAAGCCACUUCUUUGGUAAAUAUUUGUCCCCCAGGCGAAUGUAUUUUAAACCCUUCCCUUGAUUCAGUAUAUGGAAUGCAAUAUUUCUCCAUGAACUUUUUGCUUAUGAAAGUAUGUGAUGCACCCGAAUCAAAGAUAAUAAGUGCAGGGUGGUUGGCUACGAGGAACGUACCCAUCAUCACCGGUUCGCCUUCCGGUGUUGUGGCCACUUGAGUGUAAUAGAUCCGUCCUGUUUUCCGUGUAUUUUUGGCCGCAGUAUUGGUUGCCGCAUUUCCCUUAGAACUCCCAAAACUCUGUUGAUUAUUUGACUGAUUCUGCAUCGGGUAUGGACAGUCUUUAAUGAAAUGCCCGGACUUUCCACAGUUGAAGCAACCUGUUGACGAGCUGGGAAGAGAAGGGAAACGAGUGCCAGGGGCACCCGACUGAUUUGUAGCAGUGGGGGUAGGGUAGGACGGAUGAACACUGGUUGCUUGAAAGGGAAGGAGGGUGGGCAUGAUGAAGAAUGAUUUUGAUUGAAAGGUCGGAUGACCAACCUUUGUCUCUUUUCAGGCCCCUGGUUGGGCCUGUCGCCUCCAACUCCCUUGGAUUUUCCGGAACUUGCAUAUUUAGCUUCGACUGCCAGUGGUGUGCUUACAGCCCUUCCAUAAGUAAGGUCGAUGCAGGUAGCCAUCUUUCUUUGCAUCCGAUCACUCAAGCCUCUCAUGAAACAGUUCCUCUUCUUUAUGUCGGUGUUGACUUGAUCGAUUGCAUACUGGGAUAAGUGAUUAAAUUUAUUGAUAUACUGGGUGACAGUAUCUCCGCCUUGUUUCAACUUCAUGAACUCUUCCUGCUUCAUGUGGAGAACUCCUUCAGGUAUAUAAUGCUCUCUGAAGGCCAACUUAAACUCAUCCCAAGUUACUUGAUGAUCAGCCGGUUGAACGGCUAUAAAAUUUCCCCACCAUGUGCUGACAGGGCCACAUAAUUGUUGGGCUGCGAAUAGGGGCUUUUGAACCUCUGAACACCGAAGGAGCCCAAACUUCUGUUCAAUGACGCGGAUCCAUUCAUCCGCUUCGAGAGGGUCCUCUGCUUUGACGAACAACGGAGGGCGCGUCUCAGAGAAGUCCAGAUAAGAUGUCUCACGAGGGCCUUGCGGAUAGGCCCGCCUGCCUUGUUGUUGAAGUUGUUGACCUGCCAUCUCCCGCAGGAAGCGGGUAUUGUCUGCUGUAGCGUUUACCAAGGCACUGAUGGCCUCGGCAAGUGUCGGGGGUACUGGAGGUGGAUUCGGGGUCGCUUCCCUCCCAUGGGAGGUACCAGCCCCAUCCUGAGCGCGAGUCCUGGAAGGCAUCUGAGGCAAAGAACAUUUGGAGCAGUAUGAUAUGCCAUACAAACCAUCCAUUUCACAUUACUUAAAAAUGUAAUGUUACAGACUCGUACUUUACAAUAGGAUUGCACCCCCUAUUACACAAGAGUACUACUUCUACACUAUACUAUUCCUGCUUCUUGUCACUCUUGGUAGCCUCGCUGUCGGACGUAGGAGACCACUGGUCGACCAAAUUCAUUGAAGGAGGGGGCCUGAAAAGGUCCAGUUCUCCUCCAAAGGCUUCUCCUGCCGUUCCAGAUGGUCCGGCUCCCAUCUAGACAGGAUCCACGGGAACGUUCGGGUGUAAUUGUGAAUACAAUACAUGAACUUCUUCAUGUAAUGUAUUACAAUAUACCUGCAAGUUAUCAACAGCUGAGCUAAGCUCUUCUAUGCGGGCUUGAGCUCUAGCUUCCUUUGCCUAGGCUAGUGAACGAGAGCUCACAACCCAGUCAAGUGCUAGAUCCCAAUCCGCUAGCUGGUCUUGCAGGUGGCGGAUGUCGCUUCUCAAUUCAUUGAUCCUCUCACCAUCCGCGACCCAUAUGUUAUUCCUGCGAUGGAGUUCUGUUUGAAGCUGAUUAACUUGUGCUUCCAGAUCUCCAAUCGGAUCGUUGCUCCCACUACUGCUGUCGUCAUGUCUCGGGGCAAGUUGGUGACGAGGUACACCGAUCGACCCGGUUGACUUGCGUGCAGUCUUCCUUGUACGUGGCGGCAUCUUUCUAAAGGGGGAAUCUUAUUAGCAUAACUCUUAGCAUGAUGCAUGUGUAAUUACGGAAUCAACCUGAGUUGACUCAACCUUCUAUACAUUGCACUCUUCCUAUCUGGUCUUUAAAAUAAACUCUUCAGAGAUACUUAGAUAGGAAGGGAAGAAAUUUUCUAGAUAAGUCUUUAGAAAAUUCUUUUUGAAGAUGCCUCAUAAUAUCUGCAGAGAUGGGCUUCGCUCCGAUACCAGCUGUGACGGAACCUCCCAAGUCAUUAGGCUCACCUACAGUUGUCCUUGUCCAACGGACCUCAGACAACCCUGCAGGUGCCCCUGAAUCACUUGACAAGUUCGGUAUAUGCUUUUCUUACCUUUCCCAAGAGCGUUUCACCCGUCACGCAGACAUUACAAAUCAUCGGAGAUGCGGAAGUGCGGAAGCAAUUACAAUAUCUUAGUUUUAUUUAAAAGUAAGAUAGAGUUAAAUAUUUACAAUCCAGGAUAAAAUAUACGAGUGCAGAGAAUUAUUAUUACAAACCAUGGGAGGCAAAAACUCCUCCCGAUAAGUAUCAAACAAAAAGUUUUUAUGGAGGAUCCUUUCCUCCCGCAACUUCAUUCCUGGUGCUCUUCCUUUGGUACCACCUUAGAACAGAAGCAACAAAAGUUUGUCGCUUCUUCACCUAAAAACAACGGGGAAUAAAACCCUGAGUAUGGAAUUACUCAGCAAGUCUUACCCGACUAAAGAAAAGACUCUCAAGGGUAUGCUGGCUUAAGGGAGUCAAGGUAAGGCUUAUCAAUAAUCAAUGGCUCUGUUUGCAGAAAUGCUUACUAAAGUGGAUCCUUAAAAAUCCAAUUUUAAUUUGUCAGGUUAAGUAAGAUUACCUGCAACUAGAGUUCUUUCUACCCUAGUUCAAACACUUGACCUGCACUAGCCAAUUUCUUAACAACCCUUCAUCUUUACUGGAUAUCUACGUAUAGGUCAGUGACCAAGUCUUCAUAACCGCGAAGGUACGGCGAUCCGAAUCGAUUAUACUCGCUGAGGAUCUCCAAUCACACGAUAUAUGUAGCACAUAACCCUUGCAUAUGUCAACUCACCACCAGGGUUCUUAAGACCAGAUCAGGUUCACGCCAACCGAGAGCACAGUUACACCACCAUCCAGCCUCUUGCCACGGAGGGUACACGCUACUCUCACUAUCUCUCCACGCCCAUUGCGUGUUAUCUUAUUCUAGUAUUAGCCUGCCCGAGGCAAAGCUUACCCAUGACGAGGCAUGUGACCAGUUAAAGGGUCCUCGGUCAGCAAGCCUACAUCGGCACGGUCCUUAAUCGACUCAGGCGGAGACACUACACCGAGACUCCUUUCUCGUGCAAGUCCACCCGCCCGGUCUCAGCUUAAUUAUUUCAAACCCAAAGUUUGGUACCUGGUAGAGGUACAUCUUUUCCGAUGUUGAACCCAUCAUGGCCAUGAUGGAUCCACCAUCAAGUUUUAUUUUCAAAAACAUCCCUCCCACUUUGCCACAUCAUCUUUUUUUGUAAAAACAAAACAUUUUGUUUUGCUAGAGCAAGACUAAGCAUAGGAAAAACCUUUUUGUAAAACAGGGAUUCCAAGGAAGGUAAUCAAAUUCAAGGAAGGUAAUGCAGGAAUUGUUUUAGCACUCAACUCCUAUCACCUAAUGCAUCAGGCAAGUGAGAAAGAUUUUAAAAACAUCAAGGAGGUGGCAAAUGCACCGGGGCUUGCCUUGGUUUACAGGUGAUUCAGGCUCGGAUCCACAAAUGUCAAAAUAAAAGUAAUUUCCUGCCUGAUGUUCCGUAUGUGGUGGUGGCGAAGUCUUCUCUUCUUCUACUUCAACUUCUUCCUCGUUUUCUAGAUAUAAUCAUAUAUAUAUAUAUAUAUAUAUAAGAAUAAAUGCCCAUGUAAUGCUCAUGAGGAUGCAAGGAUAGUAAAAGUUUAUUUUCUAAAGUCUUGAGUAUAAUUUUCCUUCACGGUUCUCCGAGAACCUAGGGUUUCCAGAGUCAGUAAAGGAAUUCAAAGGGCAGGGGGUAGGGUUUUGGGCUCUAAGUAUCAAACAAGGUCCAAAUCAUACCAAAUUCUACCCAAGGCUUCUAAAUAAUGUUUUGAGCUCAUAUAAAAAGUUUGGGGAUUUUUGGAAUUAUUAUCUAUUUUCUAAAAAAUCCAGAAACAAUGUUUUAGGCUAAUUUAAAUGCUCCAAAAUUUCUUAUUGGUUCUAAAAAUCAUGAAACUACUUUUAUUAAAUACUAUGGAAAAUAAGGAACCUAGGAAAAUUGGUUUGGCAUUUUUACCAUUUUUCUACAAUUUUCUACAGAUUUCUAAAGUUUUACAGAAAAAGAAAAGGGAAAAGCUUAAACAGUACUGGGCCGAAAGUAGCCCAAACGGCCCAGCUUGCACAGGAACAGGGACGCGCCCAUGAGCGCCCGCGUGCGCGAUGACGACUUUGCGAAUAAGUCCCUGCAUUUUUUAUUAGCCCGAAGGAGUCCAAAACACUAUUUAAAACAGUCACUAACACUUUGCAGAAAUACCGUCGUACUUCGAUUUCUUCUCUAGAAACAUCCCUAGCCACGGCGCGCUCGCCGUUUGUCUUCGACGUGGUCUGUAUCGGCCAUGGCCGGCGAUGACUGCUAUGGUUAACUAUCGGGGAGGCAUAACCGAUCAAGGAUAAUCUAGGAACAUCCUUUAAUUUGACAUAAACUUCAUUGGGAACUGUCUGCCCAUGAUCAUGGCGGAAACCAGGAUCACGAGCACACGUUCCCGCCAAAUCAUGGCCGAAUUGAGCAAACUAGUGCCACAGUAAGCUUCACUAGCAUGCAGAGCCACAAAAACAACAUUCGAGAUGGAUAGAGCCUUACCCGAAUGGGCUGGCCACGGUGGCGAGGCGACCCAAUUUGGGGGAAAAGGGAGAUUCUCCGGCUAUGGUGGCUAAUCGAGGGUGGGAGCGGGUGCUUCGGCUUCGCAAUUUAGAGACGAAGAGUUGUGCUCGGUUGAUUUGAACGGAGGGGGUGAGGAUGCGGUGGAUUUAUAGGCGCAGUGAGCCACUGUCAUGGCCAUGGUGAUAACCAUCGCCGGCCUUAGCUGGUGAUCAACGGCGGCGUCGAGCGCUAUCCUUUCCUACGAGCUUGCCACGUUCCGCCGUGAUAGUAACUCGGUCAAAUCAGUGAGGGUGUGGAUGAACGAAGAGGAGCUGCGCCGAUGACCGGAUAUGGCCGGAGUGAUUAGUGGCCGCGUGGCGGCCGGAAUCAUCACGCUCCACCGCGGCGAUCUUACCGGGAUCAAGAAGAUCUUUGCGAGGAGAUGCACGCCGCGCGCCCAUCCCGACCCUGGCGCAAAUCACGACGCGGAUUGGUCGUCGGCGGCGAGGGUCUGAAGCUUAUCCUCCUGGGUACUGUACCAUGGCAAUGUUCUUCAGUGCUCCUAACAGCCAAAGUUUAGGGUGGAUUUUCUCUAAAGUUUUCAUGGCAACUCACCCAAAUCUCUGCAGCAAAGUUGUAGAUUUACAAACCAGCUACAUUUUGACUAUAGGAACUGAACUCAGUUGAGCACUAGAUCAUACAUAAUUUCAAUUCCAAAUCUCGACCAAUAACACUGAUGGUCAUUUUUCAGUUAGUAACCUGACUGACAGCCCAACUUUGGGUUUAUCUCCCAAUUCUUCAUAACAACAAUGCUUAACCCCUUAAACAAAGUUGUUCACCUUUAAUAGCUCUACAAUAUUGAUGUGGUGACCUAGGGCAAAAACCUUAUAAUUUGAAAAUUACAAAGCUCCAAAGUUGAGCCCAAACACUGAUUUUCAGACUUAGUCUUAGAACCCAAAUAGGGCCUUUUUGCCAAUAGGUCCAAAACUCAGGGUUUCAAUUGCAAAUCUUCAUAAAUGUGAACCAAAUGACUUUAUAUGCCUUAACAUCAUAGUUUUUACACAUUAGUCCAAAAGUGCACUAAUUUUGCACUUAACCCCCUAGGGUUUAAGUUUAGGUUUUUUCCAGGGUCUUUAUUAGGGUUUUUGGCAUUCCAGGGGUGUGAAUGUAACUUAGAUCCAUUCUAGUAAUAUUCUAUGAUUAAUUUACUUAAACUUUAGGGUUUUCUCUAUUUGGAUUUUGUUUUACCCUUCUGAACCUCAUUUAGGGUUAAGUGCCCUACACUAGGGUCUUAUUUGCAAAGAUACCAUAGCAAUACAACUUGUUUGAGAUUUUUGCCUAGUGAAUGCAUUCUAGGUGUAUCAAACAUAUGAAAUGAUAAUGCUGAUGAUGUUAUGCUCAAGUUUUAGUAAUAGUAACACCAGGGGUGUUAGAGUUCAUCAUCAGAAUCCAUCAACCAUUGAUUUUAGCAGCAUCAGUGAUGAGAAGGAGAUUCAUGAGGAAUCUCUAGUUCCUCUCCUCCUCCUCCUCAUCGAUCCCUCUCCAAAAGGGGUCGAGGGUCUGGCAGGAUUGAGGGGGAGGGACCCUCUAGGCCUUCCCAACCUUCUCAGGGAGGGAGGCAUAAGGUGUCUGCCUCUCGCUCUAUCCGUGGAGCAUCUUCUGCUGGGGGUAUUCAUAUUCAUUAGGAAGACGACUCUCUAGACGACUUAAUCGAUCUUCCACCUCAUGAUGAUCUUGUUGUUGGAGGCAUUAGUCUGCAUCGGGCCAAUGUGUCUCGGGGCUCUCAUGAGGACCUGACUGACUUCAGCGCGAGGGCAGUCGAUGUUCUCCUGGAGAUAAGGUUCACCAACCCCACUCUUACUCUUAAGCACCCUGGGGUUCAUGAUCCAAGGUUCUGGAAUCUCUUUCAAGUUGACUUCUACAAUUUUGUUAUUCUAUCGAAAAAGCACCUAGUCAUCAGGCAUAGAGUGAUUGAUUGGGAAGGUUGUGAACGUAUGAAUGAUGAUGAUAUGACUCGGGUUCUGAGAGCAUGCGAGCAGAAAGGGUUGAAGGAUAUCAUGACAAUGGAAUAUCCAUGGAAUGAUGAGGUUAUUGCUUAGUUCUAUGCAACUCUUUGGAUAAAGAAGGUUGAUGAGGAAGCGGAUGGGUAUGACUACCCAGUCAUGUACUUCUACCUCUAGGGAGUUUGGCACAAAGUAAGUGAAAGGGAAAUGUGUCCUUGGGACAUUUCUAUAAUUGUUUUGGUGAUUAGAUGCCCAACACAUUGGUUUGAAUUCAGAUUGCUAACUAAGUAAGAAGUGCAAAUCAGGGAGAAAGGUAUUGUUGGGGGCCUUCGGCUUCCGAAGGUCCUAAAAAACAUGAUUUGACAAUGUUUUUGGAGUGUAAUACAUGAACAGGUACCUUCGGACAUGGACCCUUCGGACAAGUCAAAAUCGCUGUAUGAAGAAACACAAGGAGAACAAAGGAUGGAAGAGAGCCGAAGCUGUGCGCAAAGAAGCUUCGGCAUGUUAGCAGAAAAGAGGAAACCGACUUAAAGAGGAAAAGAGUUAUUGUCAAAAGCAAAGGGCCUGGAUGUAAUUUUACAUGGGCUGCGACCCGUGCCUAUAAAUAGGUGAACAGUACUCCCGUACUGUUCACGCUGACUUGGCAUUCGCUUUUGCGUCACGCUUGUACUUUUGCUUUCCUUCAAGUCGAAGGUACAUUUGUAAUUUGUUAUCAUUUCUAUAAUAAUAAAAUAGAAAUGAGCUAAUAAUAAUAUUUAAGUGUUUAUAUUAUUUCUCAUACUUUAUGUGAAUUCUUCUUCAUUAUUUGUUGUACGAUGAAGGUAUGUCCUUCAUAACCUUCGUCCGAAACUCAUUAUAUCCCAAUGGGAAAUAAUGCUUCGAAGGACGAAGGACUUUAACGUUUAACAAUUCCUGUGUUGCCUUGUUCUUAAUUCAUAGCAUUUAAGGACAAGUCCCCAACAUUGGCGCCCACCUCCGGUGAACCCUUUUUGACCACCUUCGGCAAGCAUCGACCUUCGUCAUGCCGCCAAAGAAAGAUUCAGCAAUAGGGGCUGCUGCUCUGCAACCACUGGACCCGAACCAGGAGACCCUUUCUCUUCGGGAAGCCCGAAGCCAGAAGAGGAAGGCCACCAGUCCAACGCCUCAGGAGGACGAUUUGGACCAAGAAAUCAGGAACAUGGAGAUGCUGCAUCAACAAGUGCAAAGGAAGAAAGAAAAGAUGGCCCGACUAGCUGAUCUUCAAAGCAGAUAGACGAAGCCUCUGAAGAAGUUCGUCAUCUUACGCAAGAUGAGCAGAACCGGAGGCCCCAGUACAGAGAGCUUCACCAAGAGGGCUUCGUCAACGAGGAUGACUGGUAUAAGGAUUUCCAUCAUGGAAAUUUUGCUUUUGAUGAUGCUUCUCCUCUGUCAGCUGAACUGCAGGCUACACCUUGGCCCCCGUCUUAUAAACCACCCCAGCUCCCAAUGUAUGACGGACACUCAGAUCCGAAGCAAUUUCUGAUGAGCUACGAAGCAACCAUAUCUUCAUAUGGUGGCAACACUGCAGUCAUGGCGAAAUCCUUCGUCAUGGCAGUCAAAAAUGUUGCACAGACCUGGUACUCUUCUCUUCGGCCAGGAACAAUCACAUCGUGGCAAAAGCUGAAGGACAUGCUCAUCACCAGCUUUCAAGGGUUUCAGAUGAAGCCGGUCACCGCUCAAGCUUUGUUCCAGUGCACUCAGGAUCAUGAAGAAUACCUUCAGGCGUAUGUCCAAAGGUUCUUCCGACUGAGGGCGCAGGCGCCAACAGUGCCUAAUGAAAUUGUUAUUGAGGCCAUGAUUAAGGGGCUUCGGCCAGGACCUAUAGCCCAAUACUUCGCCAGGAAACCCCCUCAGACCCUGGAGAAAUUGCUUCAGAAGAUGGAUGAAUAUAUCCGAGCAGAUAAUGACUUUCGGCAAAGAAGGGAGGAAGCUUAUAGGUUCUCCGAGAUGACCAGGGGCUUCGAAGGGAGAAUCCACCCUAGGCACGUCAGAUCUAUCCAUUCUACUCAGACUGACGACAGGGGAAGUCAGCAACAAAGGCCGCAGUAUUCCUCCUAGGCUUCGGGGCAGCAACAGAACUAUCCUCGGCCCCCAGCUCCAAGGGGUAGAGGCGCAAGGGGCUUCGGAGGAAGGUUUGGGGAUCAGCCCAGGAAAAUUUACUGUCUAUUCUGUGGUGAGGACAAGGGCCGUACUACCAGGAUGUGCCAUGUCACCAUUCAAAAACAGAAAGAGAUAGCAGAAGCUGCAGCCCAACAGAGCCAACCGAAGCAGGUUAUGCAUACUGCUUCGUACCACUCACCAUACAUUCCAGAGUAUGUGGGUAACCAUCCUGCAGUUUCUGUUGCUUCGGCAAGUCAACCUCAGGCAUCUUGGCAACAGCCCCCACCUCCACCACCAAUGCAACCCGCUUAUCCCCAGAGCCAGCAGCCAGAAGGGAGUUAGCAUAAUCACCAGCAGAGAGACUUUAGGGAGCAGUCCGAAGCUCGCACAGUCAACAGUACUGUGCCAGAAUCAAAGCACAUCUACUAAGAUAUAUCCUACCUUUGAAACAGCUUUUACAUUUGUUAUCACUUACCUUCUCAAUAAAGAGCAAUCAUUGAAAACUUAGUUCUUUUGUUGUUUUAAAUUUCUUGUAAUAGCUUCGUCAUUAUCAUAAUGAAUAUACCUUCUUCAAACAUCGAUGAAGUUCUAAAGGUCUUGACGAAGGAAUGCAUUGCAAGAUAUUGUCGAAGCAACAAAAGUCGUUCUUAAGGGAACGCAUCGUAAGUUUUCUGCUCAAAAGUCGUUCCAAAGGGAAUGCAGAGCUUACAGCGAAAAAUAAAUGCUGAUACCGCCGAAAUAGAAGGCGAAGAAGCUCCUAAGGAGGCUUACAACGAAAAAUAAACGCUGAUACCGCCGAAAUAGAAGGCAAAGAAGCUCCUAAGGGAGGCUUACAGCGAAAAGUCAACGCUGAUAUACCAAAAAAUGACAAAAAGAUUGUGUGCUCCACUGGGGAAUGUGUGUAGGCCUUCGGCGCAAAUAUCAUUUUGCAUAUCAUUACAUCAUUACAUCAUGUGCAUAGCAUAGCAUCAUACAUCAUAUUGCAUCAAUGGCACAAGAAGGGGAUGCAAUAUGGACCUUCGGAAAGGUAGACAAUGUUAACCUACAAUAUUGAGCUUCAGAGAUCGUUUCGAAGAAGUGCCAAGGCACAAAAUAGGUUUUCAAGAAAUACAGCUUCGUCACUUCGAUAUGAAAAGGAGAUCCAUUGUUCACAAAGCAUAAAUGUUUUUUCGGAAACUGUAAUAUUUUUACGGAAUAUGGAUAUUCUUCACGAAGCAUGAAAAGAAGGGAAGGUUUUUUUUUCGCCGAAGGCUCAAAAACGGUAUGUACGUAAAGUUUCAUGCAUCGUAAAGAGUUGAAUCAUAAACAGCUUAUAUAUUACAUUCAAAAUUACAAAAUAUUACACAUAUUGUCCAGCAAAUAUUACAUUCCAAAUGUCUUUACAAUAACAGCUAAUCUUCUCUUAAAACUACUUAUGUAGCUUCGUUUAGUAGUUGAUCAACAACUUUAUCCAUAAUAGCUUCGGCCAU